rnacentral:lncRNA from 1 species
CCACGGUAAUGACUAAACUGGUAUAUGGUACCCCGGGAAUGAAUGAACUGGAUAUGAAGGAACUGGUAUAUGGGACCACUGAACUGACGGAACUGGAAAUGAAUGAAAUGGUAAGGAAUCACAUCACUACACCACGGAAAUGUACUGAAAUGACUGAACUGGUAUGGAAUAACUAAUACCACGUAAAUGAAUGGAAAUGAAUGAACAGGUC